GCUCGGUAUCUUAGUUGGUAAAGCACUUGUCUAGCCUACAAGAUUCGUGGGUUCAAAUUCCACCAAGCA
rnacentral:tRNA from 1 species